UUGCGGUUAAAAAGCUCGUAGUUGGAUCUCGGCAAGUAGAGGGCGGUAUUGCUUCGUAGCAUGUACUGCCCUAUUACUUGUAGUUUUGCCAGAGGUGUCCUGGGUGCUCUUAAUCGAGUGUCUAGGGAUGCUGGCAGGUUUACUUUGAAAAAAUUAGAGUGCUCAAAGCAGGCUAUUACGCUUGAAUAUUCGUGCAUGGAAUAAUAGAAUAGGAAGUUGUUUCUAUUUUGUUGGUUUUCGGAAAUCGACUUAAUGAUUAAUAGGGACAGUCGGGGGCAUUUGUAUUCAAACGACAGAGGUGAAAUUCUUGGACCGUUUGAAGACAAACUACUGCGAAAGCAUUUGCCAAGAAUGUUUUCAUUAAUCAAGAACGAAAGUUAGAGGUUCGAAGGCGAUUAGAUACCGCCCUAGUUCUAACCAUAAACGAUGCCAGCUAGCGAUCUGAGGACGUUUUUUUUGUAGACUCCUCAGGAAGCUUCCGGGAAACCAAAGCGUGUGGGUUCCGGGGGAAGUAUGGUUGCAAAGCUGAAACUUAAAGGAAUUGACGGAAGGGCACCACCAGGAGUGGAGCCUGCGGCUUAAUUUGACUCAACACGGGAAAUCUCACCA
rnacentral:rRNA from 1 species